GGCGGAGCUUGGCUAGUCGACAUCGAUUCCGGUGUGGAGCGAUGGUCUUUUCCAUGGAAAAAAGCAACCAGAGGAGACUGUCAUGAAUCUGAUAUAGCUCGAUUAAUUCUCUUUGUUCAUCAGGUUUUGCUGUUAAGUUAGAUCGUAUAAGCAAGGAAAUGAUGGACAGCGGGUCUUGGUACUGGGAGUAUACGGUAGAUGGUGCACAUGUGAAGUUGAACAUGGUAGAGCUGUAAAGGAGGUAGUACCCAACUGUAGAUACUUGAUUCAUUGAUUCCCGGCUAGGUAAAUUAUAUCGAGGGCACGUUUGACUAAUAGUUCUGGUUAGAUGAACUCCAGCUUGUAGGUGCUGUUGUACAAGGGGAAAGGGCCUGCAUAGACAGUUGUACAGUGGACUGCAUAUCCAAAUUUGCUAUUGAGCCUAUUCUCCUGCCUAGGAGUGAUGUACAUACUAAUAUAUUUCUCAAUGUUGAGGAGAAUAAGCAUUCUCCCAAAGUUCCGAAAGCUGCUGAUAAUUGAAGAUCCAUUUGUAUCCUGAACUUUGGCCUGCAGUAGCGCAGUACAAUGAUGCACUCAUGUGAAUCUCAUAUCUUGUGUUGUUUCUCUGAUCCCAUUCGUCUCUGGUGAUAUCCAGAAUCUGUUGUGAUGAUUUUGGAGGACCACACCGUAUCAGCACAGCUAGGUAGCAGUUUGAUUGUUCUUUUAGCUUAUCCAAGAAAACGAAAUCCUGCCCAUCUUUUCCUGGUGUUUAGCUCAAGGAUGGGCCUCAGGGAGACAACUGCUACUAGUUAUCUGACUGUUCUGUUUUACGUUUUGAUGUUUUGAUGAUAUCUAAAUGCGACCUUGUGCGCACUCUUCGUUUUCGUUUUGCAUGGAGGAUGAUUUGAUGCCUCACUGACAUAUCAUUAAACUAGCACCUGAUCCCCAGAUACCUAGAGGUUUAUCUCAGGCUGCAGAAUGGUGGACAUGUCUCUCCCAGCACUUGGCUUGCCGGAUUCUGAGAAGCUCGACGCGGUGCGGGCUCCUCGUCAAAAUCUUCUCGAUCAAAGGUCGUCGACGGUGAGCCAAGGUCCCAGCAACGUCUUCCGCUCUGACUCGAGGUCCGUCGUCGCCUUCGUACUUUCCUGAGAAUCUUCUGACCAACACCAAUAGUCGACGAAGUGGGCAUGCACAUGUACGGAUGAAAACCCGAAGUCGUGAAACGAAACGACUACGAUUGUUUUCAUGAGAAAAACACCAAAUAUAUGUCACAUCGCGUCCAGAUGGAGCAGAGGAGGAGGAUUACAUAAAAUGCAAUUUUUUUCUUAAUAGGUUCAUCUAUGCCUACCAGCCAAAACACGAUGUCUAAAAUCGGUUGGUUUCUUAAGCAAGCCAAAAUAUUGUUAUUUUCAUUGACCAAGUAGAAGGUUUAGACAAGUGCCUUGGACAAGUCCUAGGGGUUUUAGAUACCGGUUUUACUAUUUUUAUAAGUUCUUGAAG